rnacentral:tRNA from 1 species
GUCUUCGUAGUAUAUUCAUUACUUUGGUCUUGUAAGCCAAAAAUGGAGAUUUUUUCCUCCCAAAGGCA